ensembl:lncRNA
CGAGAUCCGCGAGGAGGGGCUGCUCCCGUGCCCGGGAGGCAUCGGGGGAGGAUCGCUGGUCAGCCACACAAUGAAAAGCUCCCCGGUGGCCACUCGUUCAGCCCGGGGGGCGGAGGGAGGGCGAAGGCGAGAGGCGUGAGCUCCCCUCUCGCCCAAAGCCACGGUCAGCGGCCGCCUCCCCAAGGCGCCGGGCGGCCUGACCCCGGCCUCGGCCUCCGGGCGCCCGGUCACAGGGCAAGGGGCCCGAGGAAAGCAGAUUUCUCUCGGAAAGAAAGGAAACUUCCUGGUUUGAGCAUUAUGGGUAGGGGGCUAGCGCCCUCCCCCACCCACUACAGGGCAGCGCCAGCCACGGCAUGUCCCGCACGAAGUCCUGCCACUGCCGCUGGUCCUGGUCCGAGGACACGAAGACGAUCUCCAGGCGGCGCCGCGGCUCGGGCUCCGCCGCCGCCCCCGGCCCCCGGCCCCGGCCCCGGCCCGGCCCCGGCCCCCGGCCCGGCCGCCGCGUCCCCCCCGCAGGCGGCCGUAGAAGGCGGCCAGGCUGGCGCUGAGCUGCGCGCAGGGGGCGCUCAGGCUGCAGCCGAAGUAGAGCCCGAGCAGCGAGAUGCCGCGGGCGCCCAGCGAGUGCACAUCCACCUCCUCGCCGCCGCCCGUCACCAGCUUCUCGCCGAGCAGCUCCUCCAGGAAGCCCGACAUCCUGGCCCACCGCAGCCCCGGCACGCGGGCGGGCAGGCGGCGGCGACCCCGCUCCCUUGGUCCGCGCGGCGGGCGGGUGGAGGCGGCGGCUGCGGCGGCGGCGGGGCGCGGGUGAGAGGAGAGCCCCGCCCACGCGGCCCCGCCCACGCCACGCCCCUCCGGCCCGCCCUCGCCACGCCCCCUCGGUGGCCGUCCCGGGCCGCGCGGCCGCCUGGGCACAGUCCGCAGCAGCUGGCGCGCGGGGCGCGGGCUUCCACCGCGUGGCCAAAGCGCUCGGGAGACAGCCCCGGCGAGAAAGCUGGCCCGAAACGCUCCGCUCUGAUGGAACGCCCGCGGCCUAAGCGAAGAAAGGAGAAGGGUCCGCCGAGCCGGCCUUUCCGAGGCUGCGGUCCGCGCGGAGCUGGACUUGGCCUCGCCCUUCCCUCCGUUUCCUCUCCCCUCCCGAAUUCUAAAUUCUAGCCCAACUUCUCCAGAUAUUCCCACAGUCGUCCCCCGCGAGUUCUUUUACCCCUUCUUGCUGUUUCCCCUCCUUCUCUCUGUCCCCCUACGCAAAGAGUAACACUUGGUCCAUUUCGUACCCCACUGACCCCUCUUUAAUGCCUACAGGACUUACCAUCUUCACCGCACAGUUAUCACUUUAUCAGGCUGGCACUUAUUUCUCUGUUUGUGUGUUUUGUGUUCUCUAGUGUAAAAGGAUUGGAGGAUGCCACCUCCUGUUUUUCGUGUGGCUUCCGAUCUGGUGCUAGGCACAGGUGAAGGAAUCCGUAAAUACUUGUGGGUUGAUCGCAGGUCGCGCUGUGGAUUUUAGUCCACAGGUGGCGGCGGCCAUUCCCCACCAGCGAGUGGCUCUCGUCCAUCUCCACGAAUGUAUGCAACAGAUGCCGCGGCAUCUCUAGAUCAAUGCUGGCUGCUCUCCUGAAUCGGUUCCAUAGCUUAUAUCAAGUCUUGAUAGUUGGGAAAAAUACUAGGGACUUUUCUUGCCAGCUGGCAAGAUGCUACCCUAUGCCUAGGAAGAACCUGGAUUAAACAGGUGGCCUGUGGCAAGUUUUCCGGCCUCACACACACACACACAGGAAAAAAUAAAAUGUAUACUAUGCCCACCCGCAA